CUUUAAGAUUUAGAUGCGCUAUUGUAAAGUGGCUGUUCCACUGGAUGUCAUAAGGUGAAUGCACCAAUUUGUAAGUCGCUCUGGAUAAGAGCGUCUGCUAAAUGACUUAAAUGUAAAUGUAAAUGUAAAUCAAUUUUAGUCACUGAGAAAUGUCGGCCUAUUUUUGUUGUAAAAUCUGGAAAAGGCAAAUCCCAUAGAAAAAGAGCAGAAACAUAAUAUUAAUCUACAGAGAGUAAACAGAGAAGCUUUAUGUGUUACAGAGAAUCUACAAAUGGUCAAAUCCCAUAGAAAAAGAGCAGAAGUAUAAUCAAUCUUAUUUCUCAUCAAUAUACACAAUUAUCAUUACAAGGAAAGAUAAUUCAGCUCCAGCAUUUACUCAGAAGUUAAAGUUUAGGAGGGGUUGGGUUAAAUGCGGAAGACACAUUUCAGUUGAAUGCAUUCAGUUGUACAAUUGACUAGGUAUCCCCCUUUCCCUUUCCUUAACUUUACAAGAAAAUAAAAAUAAUGACAUCAUUUAAAAAAAAGUUAAAGCUCAUUAUCUGGAAACCCUUCUAGAUAUGAUAGCAGUAUGAUAGGAGAAUAGAGGUGUAAAUCCUAGCUUUGGUUUGGUGCUGAAGCUCUUCAGUCCAGGUUCUGUAGUGGUUCUCUUCAGUCCAGGUUCUGUGGUGGUUCUCUUCAGUCCAGGUUCUGUGGUGGUUCUCUUCAGUCCAGGUUAUGUGGUGGUUCUCUUCAGUCCAGGUUCUGUGGUGGUUCUCUUCAGUCCAGGUUCUGUGGUGGUUCUCUUCAGUCCAAGUUCUGUUGUGGUUCUCUUCAGUCCAGGUUCUGUGGUGGUUCUCUUCACUCAAUGUUCUGUGGUGGUUUUCUUCACUCAAGGUUCUGUGGUGUUUCAGUU